AUUGAACGCUGGCGGCAUGCUUUACACAUGCAAGUCGAACGGCAGCGCGGGCUUCGGCCUGGCGGCGAGUGGCGAACGGGUGAGUAAUGCAUCGGAACGUGCCCAGUAGUGGGGGAUAGCCCGGCGAAAGCCGGAUUAAUACCGCAUACGACCUGAGGGUGAAAGCGGGGGACCGAAAGGCCUCGCGCUAUUGGAGCGGCCGAUGUCGGAUUAGCUAGUUGGUGGGGUAAAGGCUUACCAAGGCGACGAUCCGUAGCUGGUCUGAGAGGACGACCAGCCACACUGGGACUGAGACACGGCCCAGACUCCUACGGGAGGCAGCAGUGGGGAAUUUUGGACAAUGGGGGCAACCCUGAUCCAGCCAUGCCGCGUGCGGGAAGAGGGCCUUCGGGUUGUAAACCGCUUUUGUUCGGGAAGAAAUCCUCUGGGCUAAUACCCCGGGGGGAUGACGGUACCGGAAGAAUAAGCACCGGCUAACUACGUG
rnacentral:rRNA from 1 species